GACGAACGCUGGCGGCGUGCUUAACACAUGCAAGUCGAACGGUGACGGAGAGCUUGCUCUCCUGAUCAGUGGCGAACGGGUGAGUAACACGUGGGCAACCUGCCCCAGACUUCGGGAUAACGCUUCGAAAGAGGUGCUAAUACCGGAUACGAACUCCUUGGGCAUCCUUGGAGUUGGAAAGUUUCUCGGUCUGGGAUGGGCCCGCGGCCUAUCAGCUUGUUGGUGAGGUAACGGCUCACCAAGGCGACGACGGGUAGCCGGCCUGAGAGGGCGACCGGCCACACUGGGACUGAGACACGGCCCAGACUCCUACGGGAGGCAGCAGUGGGGAAUAUUGCGCAAUGGGCGAAAGCCUGACGCAGCAACGCCGCGUGAGGGAUGACGGCCUUCGGGUUGUAAACCUCUUUCAGCAGGGAAGAAGCGAAAGUGACGGUACCUGCAGAAGAAGCACCGGCUAACUACGUGCCAGCCGCCGCGGUAAGAC
rnacentral:rRNA from 1 species